AGUGAACGCUGGCGGUAGGCCUAACACAUGCAAGUCGAACGGCAGCACAGUAAGAGCUUGCUCUUACGGGUGGCGAGUGGCGGACGGGUGAGGAAUACAUCGGAAUCUACUUUUUCGUGGGGGAUAACGUAGGGAAACUUACGCUAAUACCGCAUACGACCUACGGGUGAAAGCAGGGGAUCUUCGGACCUUGCGCGAUUGAAUGAGCCGAUGUCGGAUUAGCUAGUUGGCGGGGUAAAGGCCCACCAAGGCGACGAUCCGUAGCUGGUCUGAGAGGAUGAUAAGCCACACUGGAACUGAGACACGGUCAAGACUCCUACGGGAGGCAGCAGUGGGGAAUAUUGGACAAUGGGCGCAAGCCUGAUCCAGCCAUACCGCGUGGGUGAAGAAGGCCUUCGGGUUGUAAAGCCCUUUUGUUGGGAAAGAAAAGCAGCAGGUUAAUACCCCGCUGUUCUGACGGUACCCAAAGAAUAAGCACCGGCUAACUUCGUG
rnacentral:rRNA from 1 species